rnacentral:rRNA from 1 species
CCCCGCUGACGAGCGGCGGACGGGUGAGUAAUGCAUAGGAAACUGCCCAGUAGUGGGGGAUAGCCCGGGGAAACCCGGAUUAAUACCGCGUACGCCCUUCGGGGGAAAGCAGGGGAUCUUCGGACCUUGCGCUAUUGGAUGUGCCUAUGUCGGGUUAGCUAGUUGGUGGGGUAAAGGCCUACCAAGGCGACGAUCCGUAGCUGGUCUGAGAGGAUGAUCAGCCACAUCGGGACUGAGACACGGCCCGA